ACCGGCAGCUCAAGUGGUGGCCAUUUUUAUUGGGCCUAAAGCGUUCGUAGCCGGUUUGAUAAGUCUCUGGUGAAAUCCCGCAGCUUAACUGUAGGACUUGCUGGAGAUACUAUUAGACUUGAGGUCGGGAGAGGUUAGGGGUACUCCCAGGGUAGGGGUGAAAUCCUAUAAUCUGGCGCGGACCACCUGUGGCGAAGGCGCCUCACUGGAUUGAAACUGACGCUCAGUCACGAAAGCCAGGGGUGCGUACCG
rnacentral:rRNA from 1 species